AUUGAACGCUGGCGGCAUGCCUUACACAUGCAAGUCGAACGGUAACGGGCCUUCGGGUGCCGACGAGUGGCGAACGGGUGAGUAAUGCAUCGGAACGUACCUUUCAGUGGGGGAUAACGUAGCGAAAGUUACGCUAAUACCGCAUAUUCUGUGAGCAGGAAAGCAGGGGAUCGCAAGACCUUGCGCUGAUUGAGCGGCCGAUGUCAGAUUAGCUAGUUGGUGAGGUAAAGGCUCACCAAGGCGACGAUCUGUAGCGGGUCUGAGAGGAUGAUCCGCCACACUGGAACUGAGACACGGUCCAGACUCCUACGGGAGGCAGCAGUGGGGAAUUUUGGACAAUGGGGCAACCCUGAUCCAGCCAUGCCGCGUGAGUGAAGAAGGCCU
rnacentral:rRNA from 1 species